ensembl:lncRNA
CCCAGACCCGCCUGGUCCCGGGCAGGCUCCAGGGAGAAGAGAGCCGAGCAGGCCACGCAGACGCACAGACCCCUCCUUCCACCCGGGAUGUUUGUCUCUGUUUCCACAGAGCCUCAGAUGACUUCUGGGGACCUUUGUUUCCUUCUCCAGCUCUGGGCCCUCUUCCUUUCCGGGCAUUCCCCUUCUUUCCUGUGACCCCAUCGUCCCUCACUAGCACCCAGAGACUGAGAAGCACAAGAAGCUCAACAUGGACAAAGAAGCCAGUUAACCCUUGCGGGCUUGAAGAUGGGUCUGCCCCGUCUCUAACUCCAGUGAGCCAUGUGACCUGGGGCCUGUUACCUAACCUCACCAUCCCUCACUUUCCUUACUUGCAAAAGAGAGGCAAAAACAUCUGCCUGACAGAGCAAGUCUAAGGAAUGAAUGCAUGAAAAGUGCACAGCAUCUUGUGGGCCUCACUUUACGCAUUUCGGCCAUUGCUUCUUGCCUCAUCUCCUUCAUGCCUGGGUAUAGGCAUUCUGUUUAGAAGCAACCCUUUGUUCUACCUUCUGUCCUUCCCACAGGCACCAGCUGCCCCAAGGAUAUUUGAAAGGAUCGUUCUCAUUACCACUCUUUCCUUUGAUUUUACCUUUAUUGAAUACCAGACUCAAGAGUUGGAAGGAUCCUUUAAGAUCCACUCAUCUAUUCAUCCAACAAAUAUUUACAAAAUGUCUACUGCAUGUCAAGUACUGUUCCAGGCUCUGGAAUAGAGAUGUGAACAAAAUACACAGACCCUGGCUCUUAUGGUGCUUAACCUGUGGGCAGGCAUUGAACAGUAGAACAAUACAUUACAUGUAGGACAACAAACUUGUCUCAGUUUGACCAAGACUUGCCUAGGUUUAGCAAUAAAGUCCUACAUCCUGCGACUGUAUCCUCAGUCCUGCCAAACUGGGAAGGUGGGUCACUCUAAUUACAAAUAUGAUGAAAGGAAAAGCUCCUGCGAAUGCUUUCAACUAGAGACCUGACCCUGGCUUUGGGAGAGCUGAAGCAAGGACGUUGCCACAAAGGGUUUACUUAUGAAGACAAUCCUUGGGCUAUGCUCCAAGGAGAACUGAUGGGAAGCGGGAUGCAGAGGCCAGGUAAGAAAGUCCUCUAAGGGCCAGGUGAUGGUGGCUUGGGCAUGGAUGGAGAGUGCUCCUGGAGUAGAGCGGACAGGACAGGCCCAGACCGGUUAGAAGGCUGCCUCCCAGGUUCCUGGUGGAAGCACUUUGAUAGGUGACAGGAUCAGUUACUGAGAAGGAAAAGCCUAGCUCAGCAAGUCAAAGUUGUCACAGCGUCUGUGCCGCAGGCCCUGUGCCACCGGCAGGGCCUGCUCAGAUGACUAAGGCAUGGCACCCACUCUCCCGACAAUCACAGGUUAUAGAUGAGCACGGACAUACCCGCACAUCACAAUAUAGUGUGGGAAGAGCCAGACUAGACGCAUUUCUCAGAACGUAGCUCCAUUGUUAAGCGAUGCGUGACGGUAUGGACAUAUAUAAGAGGAGAUUUGUUAUAGGAAUUGGCUCACGCAGUUAUGGAGGCUGGGAGGUUCUACCAUGUGCCAUCUGCAAGUGGCGGAGCCAGGAGCACUGCUGGUGUGAUUCAGUCCAAGUGCCAAGGCCUGAGAAUCAGGGGCCGAGGGUGUGAGUCCUGGCCUGAGGCGGAAAGCUGGAGAGCCCGGAGCGCGGAUGUCUGAGGGCAGGAGAAGACAGAUGUGUCAGCUCAAGCAGGGAGUGAAUUCACCCUUCCUCCAUCUAUUCGGGCCCUCAACAGACUGGGGGAUGCCCAUCCACACUGGGGAGGGCCAUCUGCUUUACUGAGUUCACCAAUUCAAAUGCCUCUGAAACAGCCCCACAGACACACCCAGAAAUAAUGUUUUCCCAGCUCUCUGGGCAUCCCUUAGCCCAGUCAAGUUGACGCAUCACACCUCCCCUGACCCCUGAGGUGCAGCCAUUUGCUUCAUGGAACAUGGAUUAUUGAGUCAGUAAGUAUCAGGCACUGGGGACACAUCAACAAAGACAGACAGACAGACAAGACAAACAACUAGUCACUUCUUUCAUUAAAGCAUAUUAUCUAGGACAAAAAUUUUUAACAUGGAUUCCUAGGAGCCUCAGUUUUCGGUAGUUUCUCCAAGGCCUUCGUGACCUGAGAAAGCUCAUAAGCACAGUGGAGUCUGGCUAACGGAGCUCGAAUCCCAGCUGUCCCACUUCACAGCAACGUGACUCUGGGCGACAUCUCAGCCCUCCCGUGCCUCUAUUUCUUCGUGGGAACAAUGGUCACACUGACCUCACGGGAAUGUCGUAAGGAUUCGGGGGCGCUGCACACAGAGCCUUCAGAAUUGGGCUUGGCCUCGCAGGAAGCACUACGUGAGUGUUGACAUAAUUUUAAAAUCAACUUUAUUGAGAUACAAUUUUUUUACAACAUAGUGAUUCGACAUUAUCGAUGUAUAAUUUAUGCGCAGGAAACUGCACGCCUGUAAAUUGUGCGGUGGGAUGGGCUUUGACAGUGGUGUUCACAUGGCGGAGCACUGCCACAUCAAGAGGCAGCUUCACCUUACUGUGUUUAUUUCCACUUCGUGGUAUUGCUGUGGGAAGUCAUGGGCCUUCCAAACAGUGCUGGGCAUGUAAUACACACUCAGGAAAUGUGAGCUGUUUUUAUCAUUAUCAUUAGCUAUGAAAAGUCACUCAUUGGGAAGAGUUACCUAGAAGCUCAGACAAAAAAGGAAGCUCCAAUGUAGGGCCGGAAAACAGCUGAAGGCUCCUCUGAGAAAGUGCUCGUGUAGUCCAGCCAGGCAGCAGAAGGAGAGUGUCAUGCGUGGUCUGAUCUGCCUCCUGUUUGGGCCCCAAAGGUCUCUGAACUUGACCCCUUCCUAAAGUCAGACGCACACACGGAGGGUGAUCGCCAGGAUUCUCAGAAGCAUGCUGCUCCUUGGCCAGUCGAGGGUCUCAGAGGGGGAAAGCAGCCCCAGGGACAGGACCAGAGAGGUCAUCGUCGAGAGAGAAACCCCUUUCCUUCCGCAGCGUUGGUGGAGCUGCCAGAUCGCUGCCUCCCGUCUGCAGUCCCAGCUUCACGUUGUAACAAAAUCGUGCCAAAAAAGCCAACAGUGUCGACUCCCAGGAAAACAAACACUAGAAGUAAUUUUGUCAGGGCGGGAGCCUUGCAGAGGCUGGCUGCGCUGAUGGAUAAGGUAUCUAUUCACCUUUCAUAAAUGUCAGAUGGGAAAUAAAAAAGAAAGGAUAAUGAGGUCUCAUUUCCACAGAAGCAAGUGUGUGCCUCCAGACUAACCGCUAUACCGCUAACGAACAUGCUGUUGAGAUGCUUCCGCUGCGAUUGUCGGAGGCGCAAAGAGCCUGAGCUCAAAGGACCUGAUUUUCUUCCCCUCCUCUGCUCCUUUUAAAAUAUUUUAAAUGGCCCGAUGAUUCAACAUCUGUGCAUUCAUUCAGCACACAUCUGAAUAAUGCCCACUGUGUGCAAGGCACUCCAUCAGGGCUGGGGGGCAGCCUACCGGGCUGUUUUGUGAAGAGGCGAGGCUCUGGCGCCCAACAAGUUAGGAUUUGAAUUUUGCCCUCAUCACCUGACACGUGGCUGUAAAUGCUGCAAACCUCAACUGACUCAUGCAUCACGUAAAAUGGAGAUAACACCACCGUGUGUUGUAAGUUGUGGCUGGGGUUAAAUGAGAUAGUAUAAGUAAGGUGUCUAAUGGGGGAUAGUGGUACUUAUUAUGAAGAAGGAGCAGGUCAAGGAGGAAGAAAGCAGUGAGAAGGAGGAGGAGGAAGGGGAGGGAAAGACAGCGGAAGAGGCAGAGAGAGUGGAGAUGACAAAGGAGGGGAAAAUAAACAAGGAUGGAGACAAAGGAGAAUGAUGAGAUGACAUCUCUGUCGCAUUGACCUCCGUAUAUGGUGAGCAAGGUGGACAUAGACUCAAUUUACUAGGCUGGAGUUGGUGACAGAGAGAGAAAGGAAUGAGACACUUUAAAGCAGGCAACUACAUCUUACAGUGGAGUUGGAAGGCAGAGGUCGGGGGAGGAGGAGAACAGAGGACGAUCAUUUCUGGAGUCCUUGAUGGGUGGACAGACCAAAUAGGUAGAGAUGAGCAAGGAAAGGCAUUCCAGCUGGAGGAAAGGCCUGAGCAAAAGCCUGGAGACUGGAUUGUGCAGGCCGUGCUUAUGGCCGGAGGAGGAGUCGCAGCUGGCUUGGCAGGUGGGGAGCGGUGCAGGCUGUGCAGCCGCCAUUCACCUGCACUCUGGAGACCUCAAAUGCUUUGUUCGGAAGGUGGUUGGAAGUUCUGAAUGAGAAGGCAAUUCCAGAGGUAGAAAUCCAAAGUGAAAGAAAUAAUUCCAAAGUAAGGACGAGUAUUCUAUAAAGGGCGGUCAAUUUCUUUACUGUGGAGAGAGUGAUGCUCUCUUACCUCUAUAAUGCAUUUUACUUCUUUCAAAAGCAACGCUUCAUGAAUUGUUGUAGUUAAUUCCAACAAUCCUGUAGUGGAUAGAAUGGUGGCCCCCAAAAUCACAAGUUACACCCUAAUUCCAGCAAUCUGUGGAUGUGACCUUAGUCGGAACAAAAGAGUCUUUGCAGAAGUAAGUAAAUUAAGGAUUUUGAGAUUAGAUCGUCCUGGGUUAUACAGGUGGGCCCUAAAUCCAAUGACAAGUGUCCUUUUAAGAGACGUACAGAGGCGAGACAGACAGGGAGAAGAGAAGGCCACGCGAAGGAGGAGGGAUGCAGCCACAAGCCAAGGAAUGCCUGGAGCCGCCAGAAGCUGGAAGCGGCAAGGAAGGAUUGUCCCCAAGAGCCUUCGGAGGGAGUGCGGCCCUGCCAACACCUGGGUUUCAGACUCGCGGCCUCCAAACCAGUAAGAUCAUACAUUUCUGUAGUUUUCAGCCACCAAAUUUGUGGUAAUUUGUUAGGAAGCUCCAGCAAACCUUAGAUUAUAAUACAGACCCUUUGAGAAGGGCAGAGGAGGGAUCCUAUAUUCCUCUGUGGCCAGUGAGAGAGAGAGGCCGGCUUUCACGGAGGUCCAGUAAAGCGGGAGCCACUUGGACCCAGGGAUCUUUUCAGUGCAUUGGCGUGCCCGAGUGUAGCCCAUGGGAUCAUGAGAGGUUAGGAAGGCUGGUGAGCAAACCCCGAGGUCAUCCCUGUGAGUGGCUGAGAGAAGAAGACUUCUUGGAGAAGUGGGGCUUGAAAGAAGAGGUGGAGGGCGGGCUGGAAGGACAUUCGGAAGCUGGACUAGGACAAGCCAGGGCAGAAGGGUGGUGGACGCAGCCGGAACCCAGCAAAUGGCAGGAGGUGUGAUCAGAAAAGACCUUGAACUGUAGGCUAAGAAACUUGUUCUCUGGCCUGUCACAAAGCCGUUUACCAAAGGAUUCUGUGGGUUAGCACAGGAUUCAUGCAUUCUACAUUAACUGAGUUGUCAUUCACUAGCCUUGUGAAGGACCACCAGACACCUGCUGAUCGAGCAAAGCUAAGUUUACCAGACCUACUGCGGUCACGGACACCACCCCCUGGCAGGAUCUCAGUAUAGGGACAGUCGGAGAAGGUACUGCUAGGGCUUUGGGGUCAAGGCUGGGUGAUCUCAAGGUGAGUUUUACAAGGGAGGACACUGGUGGGAACUGGGUAGUUUAUAACAAAGUAGUUUUGGAUUGGUGGGUAGAGUGAGGCAAGGGUCUGGAAGCAACCUCGAUGAGCAAGCUGUUAGUCUGAAAAACUAAGCGUGUUAGUGGGUUCACAGGAGCAGGUUUACCCUGGAGCUAGAAGCUAAGUUAUUUUUGCUUGGUCCCAGUACUGUUUAGCAUAGGCAGAGGAAAGCACGGUUGUUUAAGUUCUCACAACAAAUGUUAACUGAGUGAGGAUCCACCAUGUCACAGGCACUGCUCUAGGCCUGUGUGUGUGCAUGCGUACGUGUGUAUAUAUCUCUAUAUAUGUACGUGCAUGUAUGUAUGUGUGUGUCUCUCUCUACAGAUGUGUGUAUAUAUACUUCUAUGUAUAUGUAUGUUUAGCCCCACCUUCACAAAGCUUGAAUUCCGAUGGGAGUGUCGGGGAGGACAGAAAAUAGAAUACUCAAUAAAUACAUACAUACAGAACACUGCAUUUCAGAAAGUGCUAAGUUUUAAGGGAAAAAAAUAAAGCAGGAAAAGAAGAUAACUGUGAUGGGGCAAGAGGAAGGAACAACGGUUUUCAUGCAUUGUGGGAAAAAUUGUCCUGGGCCCGCACAGGCUUGGAGAGCGCUGGGUUACACAGUCAGAAAGACUCCAUCACCCCCAGAACGUCUAGAAGUCUUAUGUUCGCCAGCGUUUAUUAAGAGACUCCAAGAAGAGAAUGAAACUUGCAGCAUUUCCUAACUGGAUUUGGCUUCUUAGCCUCACCCUCACUGAACCUGUCCAGGGACCUUUAUAGCCUUGGGAAUAUGUUUAAGAAAGACCCCUACAGGAAAGGAGGCCCCCCCUGCUUGAAGAAACUGAAAGCCGGCUGGGGAGGUGUCGGCGUGGUGAUCCGAGGCUUGGGCUGGUGUGGAAAGCAGGCGUGGAGAAGCGAUGGAGCCGUCAGAGACUGGGGUGGUGAGGCUGGGAGAGGGCGCCAAGCCAUGAGCUUCUUCCCAUCAGUGCCGCCAGAGCACGGGGACCACUCCACCCGGGAGAUGAAGAAACGCAUCUCAAUUUUUUUUCUUUCUGUUCCUGUCACAGAAUUGGGCUUAAUAUUUGUCGAACGAAUAGAGAGAUGUAGUAGAUUGGAGAAGGAAACUGGGUGGAUGGCAUUAAAAUUUAACCAGUUUAUGGCAAACGAAGGGGUUGCACAUUUUAAAAUCCCCAAUUGCAAAUCUGCAGACCCUUCUUCUUCCCUUCACUGCCUUCCCUCUCCAAGCAGGAGUUCCAGCUUAGUCUACUAUUCUUUCUAAGUCCCUUAGGGGUGUCUGUGUACCUGUGAAUCCAGCCCCAUGAUGCCUGAGGGGGAUGACAACUUUGUUGAGGCUCUCCAGACUGACCCCACAACCCCUGCACCCCAGCCUCGCCCGGCAGCAGCCCACCUGCUGGACGCUGCUGCUCAAACACUGGGUUGAAUAGCAGAUGGAGCCGGGACCUGGGUGGCUGCUUCCUCCCCAAACUGCCCUGGCCAGCUCCAGCCACUAGGACACGUCACAGCUUCCAGAAAAAGCUCCUUCACCUUUGCAAGCCCACCUGGCCCCUGACAUUACAGGACUUCACAAAGCUGUCUGGUUCCCUACGACAUCGAUGUCAGCCUCUUCUCUCCCCCUCAGGCUUGGGAUACAGGCCAGUUUUCUUCUCUCUGCUCUGCUCUUUCUGUGGCCUCUCUGUCCUGGUUUGCAAUCUGGCCCCACUUGGGACCACUUCAGGCCUUCAGACAGGUUUAAAUGUCCUCAAACCUCAGUGAGGGGAGGGGACGAUUCAGGGUAACUUUUCUCCCCAAAGGCUUCUCUGACUUUAUGUAAAUUUGGGGGUACAAAUAGAAGAAAAAAGUUGCCCAGUUCUAUCCUGCUGCAUCCAGGCCCCAAGUGAAAACGUCUGAGAAACGUUGAGCAGUUCAGGACAUAACUGCAUCCAUCAACCGCAUCUGGGCCUCAGGCCCGUCACGCGCCUGUGAGGGCUCACUUCCAGCACACUCGACACGUGUGCCUUCCUCAGACUGGACCAGGAAACUGCCCAGCCUCGGCCCCCGGGUCUGCGGGUGGGCUUGCAGGCCCGCCAGGGAGACGGUCGUCGAGUUUCCCUCCAGUUCUGAGCCUCCAGCCUCCCGCCAGGCAGUGCUCAGCUCCACGGGCUCCCGAAUCACCCUCCUUAGAAACAGUGUGUUCCGAGAGUUUUUCAAGCUUGCCGUAAAAACAUGGAAUUAUUUUUUUUUAAUUUGAAAUUCAUUUUCGGUCUUCCUUUAUAGAUCUGUCAUUUAUACAAUGGCUGGAAAACUUUCUAAAAUCAGAUAUAAUUUAUGAGCCCCUUCUUUUUGGCAUAAUGUCAUUUUUUACAUUAAAAUGAUAAUGACUAGAGGGAUCAGAUGUGUCUCUCCCUGGGUUGGGGGGGGUAGAUGGUGCGUGGGGUGCUGUUCUGGUUUUUAUGAAAGAAAUCCCAGGAUGCCUGUGCUCAGCCCCCACCAGGGGCUUUCAUGAAAGAAAGAAAAUAGCAAACAUGUAUUUUUCACAUCUUUGAAGUGAGAAUAGCAGUGAAAAUCAGCUUAUGCCCCUUAUAAGAGAGUAAGACCUUGGCAAAUAGUUCGUGAUACCAGGUACACAUGAAAAUUUCAAAUUGAACUUGAUUCUCAAAAAAAAUCCUCUGAAGUAGAUGAGGGCAACAGCGUGUUGAGCAGUGGUUCUCGGCCCAGCCUGCACAUUAGAAUUGCUUGGAGGAAGAUUUUUCAAAAUACAGAUUGCCAGUGGGGCUGGCCCUGUGGCGCAGUGGUUACAUUCCUGCACUCUGCUUCAGCGGCCUGGGGUUCUCUGCUUCCGAUCCUGAGUGUGGACCUAUACGUACCACUCAUCAAGCCAUGCUGUGGGGCAUCACAAAUAUAAAGUAGAGGAAGACGGGCACAGAUGUCAGCUAAGAGCCAGUCUUCCUCAGCAAAAAGAGGAGGAUUGACAGUGGAUGUUAGCUCUUCCUCAAAAGAAAAAAUAUAGAUUGCCAGGCCCUUCCCCUCAUUCUGGUUUAAUUGUUGUGGCAUUGGGUGCAGGCACAGGUAUUUUUUUUAAGCGUUUCAGAUGAAUCUAAUGUGCAUCCUGGGCUAAGAACAUG